rnacentral:rRNA from 1 species
CUACGGGAGGCACCAGUGGGGAAUAUUGCACAAUGGGCGCAAGCCUGAUGCAGCCAUGCCGCGUGUAUGAAGAAGGCCUUCGGGUUGUAAAGUACUUUCAGCGGGGAGGAAGGGAGUAAAGUUAAUACCUUUGCUCAUUGACAUUACCCGCAGAAGAAGCACCGGCUAACUCCGUGCCAGCAGCCGCGGUAAUACGGAGGGUGCAAGCGUUAAUCGGAAUCACUGGGCGUAAAGCGCACGCAGGCGGUUUGUUAAGUCAGAUGUGAAAUCCCCGGGCUCAACCUGGGAACUGCAUCUGAUACUGGCGAGCUUGAGUCUCGUAGAGGGGGGUAGAAUUCCAGGUGUAGCGGUGAAAUGCGUAGAGAUCUGGAGGAAUACCGGUGGCGAAGGCGGCCCCCUGGACGAAGACUGACGCUCAGGUGCGAAAGCGUGGGGAGCAAACAGGAUUAGAUACCCCUGUAGUC